AAGGUGCUACAAUACCUACUUAAGGAGAAGGUCAAAGAAAAGGAACACUCCUCUAGGGUAAUGGUCUCACGCUGGUAUCUGAGAGCUGAGACAAGUAAAUAAAUGAAAUACGUCAGGAAAGCAUGUUUGGUUUUCAAUUGCGACAACUUUAUUUCAGCUGUAUCAAGUGUAUAAUGUAAAUUAUUAUUUGAUAAACGUUGGCACCGUAAAGCAAAAACAGUUCACUGUACCUCAUGACUUGCUUAGAUGUCAUGUUUCAAAAGACGAUCUUUUGUGUCUUUCCUUGCUUGGAGAUCAUUCUGUCCAUGAAGUUUAAGAUUAUGUAUUUUCAUGAGUUUGUCCUCCCGAGGAACUUAAUGCAUCAGUUGAGGAACACCAUAAAGCACCUAAAACUAAGGCCAAGAUUGGUCAGUGCUGAGCUACCUGUGUUUAUAAAGGGCUUCUUCCUGCAUAAAGAUAUUUUUAAAUCUCCACUAUUCGGAAGACAAUGUACUUUUAUAGGUUUAAUGUCAAUAAUGUGACCCAUUAAAUUUUGUUCCUGAAGUCUUCCUAGUACAUCAUCAACAAGUGUAGCAGAUGUAGGUCACUGUUUUACUUAGAAAAGGUUUUUACCUAUUUGGGGUACAUAGAAGUGGUAAAUAUUUUUUAACCCUGAACUACUUUCUGCUUGCAAACCUAGUGAUAUGGGAAACAUAGGUUAAAAAAAAAUAAUAAAAUCCUUUAAAAUAAAGGAUUGGUGACAACUAGAUCUUUUGACUCCGGAUUGUCUUCCAGAUACACUCUGAGAAAUUUGUCAUACAAUACCUUCCCCACACUGCCACCUAAUGUUCAAUAGGAGUCCUACUGACAACUUAGGCAUUAAGGUCUAAAUUGCUGUAUUGCCAAAUUUAUCACAGGGUUAAUUGUUGUAUGGGAUUUUUUAAAAGAAAGCUUAAAAUGAACAUUCCUAUGUACAAAUGUGAAAAGUGAUCUGGCUGGUCGACUGAAUCAUACCCUAAACUCUGUUUACAAUCAUGCCUAAAUUUAUUUUGACUAGAAUAUUAACUAGCACAGCAGUGAUGAGCAGCUGAGGGAUGUUAAUUAUCAACCCUCUGAUUUUUUUAUUAUUAUUUAUUACUUAUGUUGCAAUCCCAAAUUCAGUGGCAGCAAAAGACUUUCUUCCUCAAGGCAAGUUCUUCAUACUUGAUUCUGACCCAACCAGGAUGGCAAAGUCUUUGCAUUCCUCCGGAGCAUGCAUUCACCCAUCACGGCUCAGACUUCACUGAGCUGUCCACCCCUAUGGGUUCAGGUGGACUACUCCUGGGGCACGUUCCCUCUUUGUUUAAGGUGGUGAUUCUUCUAGGAUUAAGGCAGUCUUCUCUUUCUUGAAGGAAGUAUUUCAGUGCUUGCCAAAAAAUGUCCUUUUGGCCGUGUCACAAGUUAUCUGGAGCCCUUCCUAUGCCUACCGCAACUGUUAUGCUGUCAUCAGAGGCACCUGGAGGUUUCUGGGGUACUUGGCAGAAUGAUCCCGCAGUGACUGGUCACAGGAAAGACAUCAAGACUUAACAAGAAUUAUGGAUGGAACAAGUUAAGAUCUGUGCGUGGAGGCAGCCAGAAGCCCGGGCAUUAUGCACAUGAGGGAAGAUCACCCGUACAGCACAGAGCUGCAGUUUGGCAGGGGAGGAAAGCAGUAACAAAGCAAACUGUACCAGGGAAGCUUUUGCAUUGUGGGGGAAGGCACAGGCAAUUGGAUUUAACCAUCUGGGUGGAAUUUGACUGGAUUAGCUUUGGCACAGUUUCACAUAGUCUUAAUUCAUCAGUGAAUGGAGUAACUAUAUUGGAAAACUACUGGGGAAAAACAACAUUGCCCCUGAUGCUACUGUCAUAGGCAGAUAGAGCACAAUCCCAUACAGUGUCUCUCUCUGUUUUUCUCUCUUCAUUGUCUCUCUAGCGAUUUUUUUUUUGUGCCAGUGUGUGUCUUCCCAUAUCAGGAUUGGCUGCCUUUUCUUGGUCUGAGAUCUUGGCAUGUAAAGAGCUAUAAUUACCCAAUGGUAUGGCAUGGUGACUACUAGCAAGGGUGGGACUGCCUCCUCUAGAACAAUAAAACCCCUUGUAUAGCAAAGCCUAACUAAACAAAACAAAAUAAUGUGUAAAAACAGACAGUGCUGCCACGAAGGGGUUUGCCAACUGGAGAGUCUAUAUGGAGUAUGAAUAAGAGGCUACUGUGUUUUAGUCCUUUCUGCUUGUGAAAGAUCCUGUUCUGUAAAGAGGUAUCUGUUAAUGUGUUCUGAUUUCAUACAGGUCUAGGCAAGAGUAACUCCUUCAGUUUCACUGAAGCUGCUCACAAUUUAUACAAGGAAUGAGACCUGAACCAGGAACAGAAACUUAGGUUAGCAUGUUCAGACAUAUUUUAUUCUCAAAUUCAGCUUAAAAAUAUAUAUAUUUUUGAAAGAAUAAACAAGUUUCACCCAACUCUCAACACAUGGCACUUUUGAGUAUCAGUCAUGGCAGCUUGUAGUUACAAACAUUUGUGUGUAACAUGAGCUAAUAUAUGUUAAUAUGCAAGGAAUUUAAGUAUUUAGAAGUAUAGCUCACUGUACACGCAUAUGCUCAGGCUGAGCCCUUUAUAUGAAGAAAAGCAUCAGGGAAGCAUCUUACUUUAGCUGUCAGCUCCAUAGAAGACCAGCCUUUUUAACCAGAAUAGUGCAAAGUUUUGUUUGAAGAACUGAUUUAAAGAAAAGUUAAAGGUUUCAGAGACAGGGAACCAAGCUGAAUACUGUGAACUGUACUGACUCAUCUCAAGAAUUGCCCCCAUGAAACACAUUCUCAAACUGAUUAAAUUUCUGUCAUUUUCUAUAUAGAGGUGAAAAUAGACUUUCCGCAGUUAAUUUUCAAACCAAGAGGUGAAACAAAAAAGUGAGGAAAUUCUCAGUAUGAAAAUUAAAGCUCUUAAAGUGUCCAAGCUUUCAACAGAGAAGUGUCCAGGCAUAAGCCUUAUUGAUUUUUAGCAGAGUACUACUAUUGUGAAUGCCUGUAGGAACACAUUUAGAAUUGUAGAAUUGUAACAUUACUCUCCUCAAGACAAAUCCCCUGUUUCUGUGAAUAUACCUGGAAAACACAGAAAAUGGAAACAGAGGUAAAACAAACAAACAAAAACACAACAACAACAA